CUGGUUUCUGUGAGCUGCUUCACU
rnacentral:miRNA from 10 species